rnacentral:lncRNA from 1 species
GUGUAUUCUAGUUGUAGGUCCUUCUGGUUGUGUCUGCAUUGUUAAAAUGUGAAUGAUAACACUGCCUGCUGCAUGAAAAGCACUUGUGAAGCAUUAAUAGAAUUCCUGACCCCUGUGUUUUGAGGUGGGUGCUCCUGGAGUGGAAAGCGGCUCAUUCAACUGUGAAGACUUCUCUGCUUAAAGAUAUUCACUCACCUCCAUACGCUGCCAGUUAUCAGACUUUAGGGUGUCUAAGAAUCAAAGGGGCUUGUUUAAAAUGCGGAUGCCUGGAGCUGAGCAGGAGUGGUUCUGAUUCUGAGACGAGCGGGAUCCAGAACCCUGUCAUUUUAACGGGCACCCAGGUGAUUCUAAUGCAGAUGAUUCAAAGGUCACGCCUUAAAGAGAAGUGAACUAGUGACACUUAAAAGACACCACACGGAGAGUUAGGGCUAUAGUCAUUUAUAUUUAACGUGAAUAAUUCAAUCAGAUUGCUUUCCUAUCAAUCCCUCUAACCAGCCAUUCUGGAGGGAAGAACGUUUCUCAUAGCUUGGGGAGAGGGGAGCAGUUUCGGUCCUUAGACACACCUGGAGAACAUAAGCUCUCGUCGCUGCACCUCCGACAGCCAGAGGCAUCUGCAGGCCAGGAGGGAUGCAAUGGUGGAGGUGGACGUCGUGAAAGACAGAGGAUGGCUAACUUGUAGUGAUCCCUGGGAUCGGCUUUAUGGCAAAGACCACCCUUUAUGCCACUAAAAAUCAUUCUGAGUCCUUUUGGUUGACAAUGGCUGUUUCAUCUUAAUGAGAGCACUCUCUAAGUUUUUUUAUAAUGUUUUUUCAGAUGUUUAGUAUGACUUCUUAAGCGAAGAUACCAUCCUAGUUUAUUUUUUGUGGUCUGUCUUCCUGUAGGCAGCACUUUCUUAAUAUUGAGGCUGAAUUCUCAAGAUCCCUCUGGCUUUGGAUGUCAGAAGUUCCCCUGUUUCCCAAAGUCCAGACUUUGGAAUUUGCUUGGAAAAGGGAUAUUUGUGGCACCAUAUUGUCCCCCCAGAAUGCCUACAUUGAAGCAUGUCCACUCUGAAUUUGUGACUCUUGGGUCCCAUGGCAACUCCAGCGCCAAUUGGCUGUGAAAGGGGAUUAACACCCAGGACAAGCUUUCUCCGAGUUGACGUGAACCAAAGCCUACUAUGGCAGCUAAUGGCUGCGUCCGCGUGGCAUACGGAGGUUAUCCCAUGGCGGUCUUCCUGAGAGCAGCUU